rnacentral:rRNA from 1 species
GACGAACGCUGGCGGCGUGGAUUAGGCAUGCAAGUCGAACGGUAUCAUCCUUUCGGGGGUGAGAGAGUGGCGAACUGGUGAGUAACACGUAGGUUAUCUACCCUCAAGACGGGGACAACCCAGGGAAACUUGGGCUAAUACCGGAUGUGAGCAACUUUUAGUUGUUUGAAAGGUGGCGUAAGCUGUCGCUUGGGGAUGAGCCUGCGUCCUAUUAGUUAGUUGGUGAGGUAACGGCUCACCUAGGCAAUGAUAGGUAGGCGGCCUUAACGGGUGGUCGCCCACACUGGGAUUGAGAUACGGCCCAGACUCCUACGGGAGGCAGCAGUCGAGAAUAGUCUACAAUGGUCGGAAGACUGAUAGUGCGACGCCGCGUGAACGAUGAAAUCCCCUUCGGGGUGUAAAGUUCUUUUAUAAUGUGAGCAGUGCUUCUUAUAUUAAACAGUAUGGGGAAGAGAUAUUAGCAUAUGAAAUAAGCAACGGCUAAACUCCGUGCCAGCAGCCGGGUAAA